UUGGUUGAAUCCAUGGAUAUGGAACCCAUGGAUAUGGAGGACCAACUAUAUUUUGCUUUUCCUAGCUCCUUGUAAAGAUUUUCAUCAGAGAAUAUCUAGUAAGGUAUAAAGUAAUUAGAGACUAAGUGACGGGGAGAGGAGACAUCAGCAACAUAAUUUUGGAAGCUGAAAAGCAGAUGGAGAAGUGGAGCAGUUAGGUUUCAGUAGACCCAAGAAAGCUGAAAUCCAAGUUGGCAGGGGAACAAUCAAGAAGCAAUCCAGCUUGAACUACAAAACCCCCCAAAAGAUUCAGGAGUUAGUAGUACAAGCUUCCUCUUGAAGUAGGGCUAACACAGGACUGUCGAUUGAAAAUGUGUUUGAGGAGCAGAACCCUCGAUUUUCUCCUCACUGACGUGUAGCAAAAGGACCACUCUGCCAAUCACCAACAGGCCUUCAUCUUGGUAGAAGUCUGGAGAUUUAUUCUCUGGAGAUGAUAAAAGCAAGGUGUUUCCACCAAAACGAGAAGUAAGCUAAGACAAGAUCCACGAAGUAAGAGUUGCAACAAAAAAAGCAAGGCAAGAACCAUCCCAAAGCCUCAGCUGCGCGGUCAUCAUCAGAGGGGGAUCUGUUCAGACUGGAGCAGAGCUGAAGGCUUCAGGGACACUUCAAGAGGAUUAAGUAAUUGCAAACCUAAUAACAACCAUUGCCUCUUCUAUUUAUUGAGUGUUCAUUGUGUGUCAGACACAGUUCUAAGCAUGUGUGUAUUAACGAUUAAAUCCUGAUAGUAGCCCUAUUAGAUGGUAGUCAUUAUCCUCCUUUUAUCAGUGAGGGAAUUGAGGCACUCAGUGCUUAAUCAUUAGUCUAAAAUGGCAUAGCUGGUUAGUGGCAAAACUGAGAUUUGAACCCAGGCUGUCCACACUCAUAGCCAGCAUACCACGCCUCACCCCCUUGACAACAGGAGAAACCAAGCUGAUGACAAGUUAACACAGCUGGGAAAGCUGGGGGAAACAGAACGUUGCACAGAGAAGAAGUCAUCUUAGUUUACUGUGGAGCUCAGUAGUGACCUGAACAGGUAACAGUGUGAAAGGGGAUCUGACAGGAGUCUCCGCAUGCCCACAUCAGGAAGAUCCGGGAGGGGCACAGGCAUGGGCAGGAGAUGUGAGGCAUGAAGGAGCUAAGUGCUUCUCUUCGGUGAUACAGAGGCAAUGCCUAAAACAAAUAACAAACCAGAAGUAGCAAGAAAAAUAGCUUGUUUAAAGCUACAGAGAGACCCACCAAAGGAACCAACUAGAAGAGUUGAAAACAGGUCUCCUGUAGGUCGUCUGGGCAGACUGUGGCAGGAUAGGGGAUGGGGGCUGCUGUCUUUCAGGAAAAGUCCUGAGAAUUAUUUGACCCUUCGAAUCUGUGCAAG
rnacentral:lncRNA from 1 species